UGCUUGCCUGAAACAGUUUUA
rnacentral:piRNA from 1 species